rnacentral:misc_RNA from 1 species
AUGCUGUUGAACAUGAGCAUUUCCAUUGGGCUUUCACCUUUUUUUCUCUAGCCCACUUUUGAUAUGAUGCCUCCAACCCAAACUUCUAAGAUAAUAUCUCCAGCCCAUUGACAUGUAAAACCGGCUCCAGUAACUCCAACUAAAAGGUCACCACAACCAUAGUAGACUAUUUGUCACAGACGAUGUUCAUUAAUACGUGUCGUAUUGAAAUGAAUUAACCAAAUUUUUUGAAAGUUGUAACAUGCUUUAAAGCUGCUGAUACUAAU